UGCGAAGGGGGCUAGCGUUGCUCGGAAUGACUGGGCGUAAAGGGCGCGUAGGCGGAUGGCACAGUCAGAUGUGAAAUUCCCGGGCUUAACCUGGGGGCUGCAUUUGAUACGUGUUGUCUAGAGUGAGGAAGAGGGUUGUGGAAUUCCCAGUGUAGAGGUGAAAUUCGUAGAUAUUGGGAAGAACACCGGUGGCGAAGGCGGCAACCUGGUCCUUGACUGACGCUGAGGCGCGAAAGCGUGGGGAGCAAACAGG
rnacentral:rRNA from 1 species